rnacentral:rRNA from 1 species
AUGGCUAAGGCGAUCCGUUCAGUCCUGCCUCACUCUCACCAUAGACUUUGUGUGUGGCAUAUGAAUCAAAAUGCUAUCAAACAUCUUGGUGGAGUUGUUACAGAUUACAAGAAGUUCAAUGCUGAUUUUCAGCAUUGUAUCUAUGAUAUUGAGGAGGAAGAUGAAUUUAUAAGUGCAUGGAAUGAAAUGCUUGACAAGUAUGGACUCCGGGACAAUGCAUGGCUCCAAAGUGACACCGAGGAGAAGGUUUACAAAGUACUUGACAUUAAUAAUAUCAAGCACAUCCCUCAACAGUACAUCUUGAAAAGAUGGACAAUUGAUGCAAAAGUUUUGGAUAUAACAAGCAACUGCAACCUGCAUGAAGACCGCAAAACAAUACUGACAAAACGCUAUAAAGAGUUGUGCAGAAUGUUUAUCCAAAUAGCUGCUCGAGCCGCAGAGUCUGAAGAGUCAUACUUGAUGGCUGCUAAUUAUGCAGAGAAAUUAGCAGAAGAGGUGGAGAAAUGUCUAAAACAUAGAUCUGAUCCGGAUACAGGUAACUCUGUUUGUUCACAAGUUGGAGACUCAAACAAUAUCACGACUACAAGUUCAAAACAAAAUGAGAGGCCUACCAAGCCAAAAGGAAUGAAGGUCAAGGAGAAGACGGCUCGAGGAUCAAACAGACAUCCAGAUAUAUUUGCAGACCCGAACAUUAACCCGUCUACAAGUUCAGAACAAAAUGAGGGAUUUGCCAAUCCAACAGAACCAAACAUUAACUCAUGUACAAGUUCAAAACAAAAUAAGGGGCUUGCUAAGCCAAAAGGUAUCAAGUUGAAGGAGAAGACUAUUCAAGGAGCAAGUAGACCUAUUGGUGGCUUAGAGAAAGCAAAAUCAAAGAGGAAAAGGAAAGUAGAUAAUCCUGUAGCACUACAACCUCAUGGCACCUCAAUGGGUCAUUCGAAGGUUUUUACGAAUCAAAUGCCUGCAUAUCUACCACAGUACAACCCAAUCCUAAAUCCUAUGGCGAUGUAUGGACAAGACCAAAGAUUGCCAGCUGAAUUGCAACAUUACAAUAGCUUAAUGGAUCAUUUGGGAGUUCCGACAAAUCACGUGUAUACCUAUUCAGAACAAUGCAACUCAGCUCUGGAUGCCUCACUAUUGCCGUCUCUUGGUACGAUGAGAGGACACCCAGCUCCAAAUUUCUCGCUGCAACCAACCAUUGGUACAAUGAGAGGACACCCAGCUCUGAAUGCCUCACUGCAGUCGUCCAUUGGUACGAUGAACCAAGCUCCAAAUGCCUCACUGCAGCCAUCCGUUGGUCAAAAUCAAGUCUUCUUCCAACAACAGAAGCCAACUUAA